GAAAUGCGAUAACUAAUGUGAAUUGCAGAAUUCAGUGAAUCAUCGAGUCUUUGAACGCACAUUGCGCCCCCUGGUAUUCCGGGGGGCAUGCCUGUCCGAGCGUCAUUACUGCCCUCAAGCCCGGCUUGUAUUGGGUCCUCGUCCCCCCCGGGGGACGGGCCCGAAAGGCAGCGGCGGCACCGCGUCCGGUCCUCGAGCGUAUGGGGCUUUGUCACCCGCUCUGUAGGCCCGGCCGGCGCCAGCCCACGCAGAUCACCCGAUCUUUUUUUUUUUUUUUUUUCAGGUUGACCUCGGAUCAGGUAGGGAUACCCGCUGAACUUAA
rnacentral:misc_RNA from 1 species